GCAGUAGCCGCGGGAAUACGUAGGUGGCAAGCGUUGUCCGGAAUUAUUGGGCGUAAAGGGCUCGCAGGCGGUUUCUUAAGUCUGAUGUGAAAGCCCCCGGCUCAACCGGGGAGGGUCAUUGGAAACUGGGAAACUUGAGUGCAGAAGAGGAGAGUGGAAUUCCACGUGUAGCGGUGAAACGCGUAGAGAUGUGGAGGAACACCAGUGGCGAAGGCGACUCUCUGGUCUGUAACUGACGCUGAGGAGCGAAAGCGUGGGAAGCGAACAGGAUUAGAUACCCCCGUAGUCCCUGUCUCUUAUAC
rnacentral:rRNA from 1 species